GGAUGAUUGUAUUUACUGUUAAUGAGGAUGAUAUGAUGCUUGUUGGAGAUGACCCUUGGCAGGAAUUUUGUGCUAUGGUCUGUCAGAUUUUUAUAUACACAAAAGAGGAGGUCUAGAAGAUGGAUUCAAGUACCUUGAACCUAAAAAAUGAAGAUUGUCCUGAUAUGAAAGAGAAUGUCAAGGAAACAAAAGGCAGUCAAUCUGCAUCAUUAUCUAAUUCAAAAAACUCAUAGGCUUAUCCUGCAAUGCUGACGACAUCUUUGCCAUGUGCAAUUCAAUCUUUGUAGGAUCUUGAAGUACAAACAAAGUGAUUGUUUGUGCUUUAUCUAAGUGAUUGUUUGAACAGUUUUAUAGCAUGCAUCUUGACAAUUGAUAUAAUUUUGAAGAUCACUAUCAAGGAAGAAUGUUCAAAGGAAAGUAAAGGCUAAGGAGAAGAUCACGUAAUUAACUACACGGGUCUAGUGAAAAUACUGAAGAAGUAUGACAAGAGAACAGGAGCACUUAUUAGGCAGCCCUUCAUCGAAAAGGUGUUGCAGCAACCAUUCUUUACAACUGAUCUCCUAUACAAACUCGUGAAGGAGUGUGGCUAUGUUCAACCACCUCUUCCCCAGCAACAACCUGUCAAUUUCAGCAGAAUGCGACAGACAAAAUGGAGUGCCAAAGCCGGCACAAUCAGGUGGGAGGGUUCCGGAGUUGGAGGAGAUUAAAUAUAUGUAGAGCUUAUACAUGAAGAGCACCGUAGCAGCGCUGUGGUCCUUGAAACAGAUUAGGAGCAAAAGUUCAACAGUCAAAACAGAUUAGAAAAUCUCGUGUUAUAUUGUUCUACCUUUGUUUUAAUAGUGUUAUCAUUUUGUUGGUUGCUUA